GUGUGUAUACAUGUGUUGUAAAUGUAUAAAUAAAAGAAUGGCUAUAUUUGCAAUAUCAAAACUGGCUACUUAUGUAAUGUCUGUGGCUAUCAGCUUGUCUUGCACAUUGGGCUGCUUGCCUUUUACAUUGGGCUGGCCCAAUACUUCAACACAUUCAAACCAACAAUUGCUUCACCACACGUAGAUGCAUAUCAUUAAUACUAUAAGAGACCUGAGCAUAAGCCUACCAUGUUUGCUUUUGAGUUUUUUUAACUAUUCAAGCAUAAAACAAAUAGACUAACAUUCUAAAUUCAAAGUUUCUCAAAUCAAAGAAGUAAUUUUGUAGUCAUUGUUCACAUUCCAAACUUACUUGAAUCUAUCCUCAAUACAACAGAUAUAACUUCAAACCUAAUUACUAGAAACUAGUCAUGCUAACAAGACUCAACUUGGUUGAAUCAACACCAAACAACAAACCAAUACUUGACCUCUAACAAAAUCGAACGGAAAACAGAGAUGAAGCAAUACCAAUCUUCAGUAAACUAAAUAAGAGUCCAUAAUUUAUAAGAAACCACACUAGACCUCUGUUUCAACAAUCUUAGUAGUCUCAUGAUAACAUUCAGUGACAAUAACUAAAUUUACUAAAAAUAUAACAUCAGGAAGAGAUAUGGGUGAAACACAGAUAAGUUAACACAAUGCUCUAAGCCUAUUGCUUUUCAUUUCAUUCGUCAAAUCCAACUUCACAAUCAUUAAGGUUUUAAAGUGUGUACCUGGAUACAACCAAAAGAACUACAGAUUUUCAGCAAAGGAGGGUGAGAUUAGUAGUAGUUUAGCAGCAGAAACCACCAAGAAAAUCAACCUCUAACCAAGAAGUGAGGUGCAGCAAUUCAAAAUAACAACCAGACUUCAAACAGGACUUUUAAACCACCAAACUCAAAUAAUUUCAGCCCCGGACAUAUCAAAAACCAUUUCAGGAAUUGAAAAUUAAGAAGUCACAUAGAGAGUUCAAUGAAGCAGUAAUUUUCAGCUAUUUGUAUCGUUUUGAAUUUUU
rnacentral:lncRNA from 1 species